rnacentral:rRNA from 1 species
CUUGCUCCACCGGAAAAAGAAGAGUGGCGAACGGGUGAGUAACACGUGGGUAACCUGCCCAUCAGAAGGGGAUAACACUUGGAAACAGGUGCUAAUACCGUAUAACAAUCGAAACCGCAUGGUUUUGAUUUGAAAGGCGCUUUCGGGUGUCGCUGAUGGAUGGACCCGCGGUGCAUUAGCUAGUUGGUGAGGUAACGGCUCACCAAGGCCACGAUGCAUAGCCGACCUGAGAGGGUGAUCGGCCACAUUGGGACUGAGACACGGCCCAAACUCCUACGGGAGGCAGCAGUAGGGAAUCUUCGGCAAUGGACGAAAGUCUGACCGAGCAACGCCGCGUGAGUGAAGAAGGUUUUCGGAUCGUAAAACUCUGUUGUUAGAGAAGAACAAGGAUGAGAGUAACUGUUCAUCCCUUGACGGUAUCUAACCAGAAAGCCACGGCUAACUACGUGCCAGCAGCCGCGGUAAUACGUAGGUGGCAAGCGUUGUCCGGAUUUAUUGGGCGUAAAGCGAGCGCAGGCGGUUUCUUAAGUCUGAUGUGAAAGCCCCCGGCUCAACCGGGGAGGGUCAUUGGAAACUGGGAGACUUGAGUGCAGAAGAGGAGAGUGGAAUUCCAUGUGUAGCGGUGAAAUGCGUAGAUAUAUGGAGGAACACCAGUGGCGAAGGCGGCUCUCUGGUCUGUAACUGACGCUGAGGCUCGAAAGCGUGGGGAGCAAACAGGAUUAGAUACCCUGGUAGUCCACGCCGUAAACGAUGAGUGCUAAGUGUUGGAGGGUUUCCGCCCUUCAGUGCUGCAGCUAACGCAUUAAGCACUCCGCCUGGGGAGUACGACCGCAAGGUUGAAACUCAAAGGAAUUGACGGGGGCCCGCACAAGCGGUGGAGCAUGUGGUUUAAUUCGAAGCAACGCGAAGAACCUUACCAGGUCUUGACAUCCUUUGACCACUCUAGAGAUAGAGCUUCCCCUUCGGGGGCAAAGUGACAGGUGGUGCAUGGUUGUCGUCAGCUCGUGUCGUGAGAUGUUGGGUUAAGUCCCGCAACGAGCGCAACCCUUAUUGUUAGUUGCCAUCAUUUAGUUGGGCACUCUAGCAAGACUGCCGGUGACAAACCGGAGGAAGGUGGGGAUGACGUCAAAUCAUCAUGCCCCUUAUGACCUGGGCUACACACGUGCUACAAUGGGAAGUACAACGAGUCGCGAAGUCGCGAGGCUAAGCUAAUCUCUUAAAGCUUCUCUCAGUUCGGAUUGUAGGCUGCAACUCGCCUACAUGAAGCCGGAAUCGCUAGUAAUCGCGGAUCAGCACGCCGCGGUGAAUACGUUCCCGGGCCUUGUACACACCGCCCGUCACACCACGAGAGUUCGUAACA